rfam:Schistosoma haematobium scaffold304_22, whole genome shotgun sequence.
ACUCAGUUGACGAGCCCUAAAUAGGACGAAACGCGUGUCCUGUAU